GACGAACGCUGGCGGCGUGCCUAAUACAUGCAAGUAGAACGCUGAAGAGAGGAGCUUACUCUUCUUGGAUGAGUUGCGAACGGGUGAGUAACGCGUAGGUAACCUGCCUUGUAGCGGGGGAUAACUAUUGGAAACGAUAGCUAAUACCGCAUAACAAUGUAUGACACAUGUCAUUUAAUUGAAAGGGGCAAUUGCUCCACUACACAAUGGACCUGCGUUUUAUUAGCUAGUAGGUAAGGUAAUGGCUCACCAAGGCAACGAUACAUAGCCGACCUGAGAGGGGGUCCGCCCACCCGGGAACGGAGACCCGGUCCAGAUUCCUACGGGAGGAAGCAGUAGGGAAUUUUGGGCAAAGGGCGAAAGCCUGACGGAGCAACGCCGCGUGGGUGAGGAAGUUCUUCGGUUCUUAAAACUCUGUUAUUAGGGAGGAACAGAGGGGUAAUUAACUGUUCACAUCUUGACGGUACCUUAUCAGAAAGCCACGGCUAACUACGUG
rnacentral:rRNA from 1 species